rnacentral:misc_RNA from 1 species
UUUGACAUUUAUUCGUAAACAGAGUCCUUGCAUCCGAGAAUGCCGGUCACAUCCGGUUAAGAGAAUCAUGGUUCAUAUCUUAUGACUUUUUAGGGCCACAAAAUGGGGUUUGAGUUGGGCAUCCGAAGACACCAAAAUGUAAUAGAAGUCCGCGGGACGCAAAAGUCAAGACCGAAGCCUUUCCUUUUGUGUUGCUACUAGCCGAAGCCGGUAGACUUUAGGUGUGGUAAUGAUCCUUCCGCAGGUUCACCUACGGAAA